rnacentral:rRNA from 1 species
AUGCCAGAUGGUGUUAAUGACACGACGAUUGUGUUAAUUCCCAAAGUUCCCCACCCUAGGGAGCUGAAGGAUUUCCGUCCCAUCAGUUUGUGCAAUCUGGUGUAUAAGAUCAUGUCAAAAUGCAUGGUGAAUAGGCUAUGUCCGCUCCAACUGAGCUUAUCUCUGAAAAUCAGAGUGCAUUCAUUCCCGGGAGGCUCAUCUCUGAUAACUCCAUUAUUGCUUUUGAGUGUAUUCAUCAUAUUCAAUCGAUCAAGGAAAACUCACCAGCUUUAUGUUCCUAUAAACUAA